AUGCUGAAGGAAGGUCUCCCUGAGAAGUCCCGGCGGCUAGAAAUUCCAAGGUCAAGUCAACUGCAGAUUCAGCAUCUGGUAAGGGCCUGUUUUCUGAUUUAUAGACAGUCAUCAUGUUGGUGUAUUCUUGUAUGUUGAAAAAGGCAUAACAGCUCUCUGGGGCCUCUUAUAAGGGCACCAAUCUCUUUAAAGAAGGUGGGCCUCUAAUAAUCUAAUCACAUCUCCAAGGCUCUGCCUCCAGAUAUCAUCACAUUAUGGAUUAGGUUUCAAUAUAUGAAUGCUAAGGGGUAAGUAAACAUUCAGUCUAUAGCAAAUCCCAAAACUUGAUAGGAAGCUAGGAAAACAGUCAUAAACCAGGACAGUCUUAACCAAAGCCAUGCAUAGGGCUAGCAUAUGUCUAUUGUUUGUGUGUGUGUGUGUGUGUGUGUGUGUGUGCAAGUUAAAGAGGUGUGUCGUCAUAACAAUAUACACUUUAUUUUGAAAUGUUGUUUUGUUUUCUCUUAAUAAAACAGCACUACACAUCAGGAUAUAUAGAGCUACCUUAUUAUUUUUUACUAGCUGCAUAGUAUACACAAAAUUGUCAUCUAGAAAUAUUGUGCCAAUUUAUAUUUCUAUAAGCAGUGCACAAAAUUCUAUUUUUCCAAAAUAGUCAAUGGAAAUUACGAAUAUUUUCUCAGAAUGUAAUGGGAAAGAAGGAUUCAUUCAUUUAAUGAGGUUCAGUAUCUUAUCUUGCAUAAUAUAAAUUCAGAAAAAGGAACAUAUAAGUAUGCAAGUUACGAUUUUUCACAUUAACCCAUUCCUAGAAAGCCCUUGCUUUCCCAUCACUAACUCACUCCUGUAAGGAUCAUUGAAUAAUUGCUAUUGUCACUCCUAAAAGGGUUUUGUUGUUGUUGUACCUUAUAAAAAGAAGAUCAUAAACGAGGUAGUACUAUUUUAUAUCUGAUAUUUUUCCUCAGUGUCUUAGUUUGGGGCUGCUAUAAUACAGUACCAUAAACUGUGUAGCUUAUAAACAGCAGAAAUUUACUCCUCAUAGUUCUGGAUCCUGGAAGUCCAAGAUCAGGGUGUCAAGGUGGUCAGGUUCUGGUGAGGGGCCACAUCCUGGUUCAUAGACUGGGCCUUCUCGCUGGGUACUCACGUGGCAGCACGGAGCUCUUGGGCAUUUUGCACUCGUCCAAUCGCUAGAGCUCCACUCUUGACGUAGUCACCUCCCAAAGACUCUGCUUCCUAAUACCAUCAUAUUGGGGUUCAGAAUUUUAAUGCAGAAAUUUUGGGAGAACAAAAACAUUUAGUCCAUCACACCCAGUCUUAUAAUAAAUGGAUUAUGUUACUCCAAGUUGGACAAAAACCAUGUCAAGAGGAAGAAAUAUUCACAUUUACAAAGUAUGGUCACUAAUCUAUUAGAUCUAUACAGCUAGCAGUAACUAAGAUAGACAAAGCCUCAACCGAAAAGCUGUUUCACUUAUAAGGCAUAGUGAAUAAAUGAUCUUAAGGGUUUUAGGGUAAAUUAGUGAGCUAAUUGUGCUAAAAACAAGAAAAAUACCCAAACUUAUAUAUUUAUAUUUAUUUUUCUUUUAAAAUAUCAACUUUACAGGUACUUUAUUUGACAAUAAUGAUAUGUUGCAAUAGUUUGGGUGUUAUACUGUGACAUUGCCUUCUGCAUCUGUUGUUUUAUUGGAAAGAAAAUAGCUUAAAUUGAACCCUACUCUUUUUUUGAAAUGUUCA
rnacentral:lncRNA from 1 species